CCUACGGGAGGCAGCAGUAGGGAAUCUUUCACAAUGGGCGAAAGCCUGAUGGAGCAACGCCGCGUGCAGGAUGAAGGCCUUCGGGUUGUAAACUGCUUUUAUAAGCGAGAAAUAUGAUGGUAACUUAUGAAUAAGGAUCGGCUAACUACGUGCCAGCAGCCGCGGUCAUACGUAGGAUCCGAGCAUUAUCCGGAGUGACUGGGUGUAAAGAGUUGCGUAGGUGGCAUAAUAAGUAGCUAGUGAAAUCGGGUGGCUCAACCAUUCAGACUAUUAGCUAAACUGUUAAGCUCGAGACCGUUAGAGGUAACUGGAAUGUCUAGUGUAGGAGUGAAAUCCGUAGAUAUUAGAAGGAACACCAAUAGCGUAGGCAGGUUACUGGGACGGUUCUGACACUAAGGCACGAAAGCGUAGGGAGCAAACGGGAUUAGAUACCCUUGUAGUC
rnacentral:rRNA from 1 species